rnacentral:rRNA from 1 species
UCNUCUGGCUUAACUGGGGGCUUGCGGUGGNUACGGGCCGGCUUGAGUGCGNUAGGGGAGACUGGAACUCCUGGUGUAGCGGUGGAAUGCGCAGAUAUCAGGAAGAACACCGGUGGCGAAGGCGGGUCUCUGGGCCGUUACUGACGCUGAGGAGCGAAAGCGUGGGGAGCGAACAGGAUUAGAUACCCUGGUAGUCCACGCCGUAAACGUUGGGCACUAGGUGUGGGGGGCCUUUUCCGGGUCUUCCGCGCCGUAGCUAACGCAUUAAGUGCCCCGCCUGGGGAGUACGGCCGCAAGGCUAAAACUCAAAGGAAUUGACGGGGGCCCGCACAAGCGGCGGAGCAUGCGGAUUAAUUCGAUGCAACGCGAAGAACCUUACCAAGGCUUGACAUGUGCCGGUCGGCUCCGGAGACGGGGCUUCCUCCUUGUGGGGCCGGUUCACAGGUGGUGCAUGGUUGUCGUCAGCUCGUGUCGUGAGAUGUUGGGUUAAGUCCCGCAACGAGCGCAACCCUUGUCCCGUGUUGCCAGCACGUUGUGGUGGGGACUCGCGGGAGACUGCCGGGGUCAACUCGGAGGAAGGUGGGGAUGACGUCAAAUCAUCAUGCCCCUUAUGUCUUGGGCUUCACGCAUGCUACAAUGGCCGGUACAGAGGGCUGCGAUACCGUGAGGUGGAGCGAAUCCCUUAAAGCCGGUCUCAGUUCGGAUCGGUGUCUGCAACUCGACACCGUGAAGUUGGAGUCGCUAGUAAUCGCAGAUCAGCAACGCUGCGGUGAAUACGUUCUCGGGCCUUGUACACACCGCCCGUCACGUCAUGAAAGUCGGC